CAGCAGCCGCGGUAAUACGAAGGUCCCGAGCGUUGUUCGGAAUCACUGGGCGUAAAGGGAGCGUAGGCGGCGUGGUAAGUCAGAUGUGAAAUCCCGGGGCUCAACCCCGGAACUGCAUCCGAUACUGCCAUGCUAGAGGAUUGGAGAGGUAGCUGGAAUUCUUGGUGUAGCAGUGAAAUGCGUGGAGAUCAAGAGGAACACUCGUGGCGAAAGCGAGCUACUGGACAAUAACUGACGCUGAGGCUCGAAGGCCAGGGUAGCGAAAGGGAUUAGAUACCCGCGUAGUCCCUGUCUCUUAUAC
rnacentral:rRNA from 1 species